GUCUUUUUGAUUAUAAUUUAAGGUCUGACCUGCUCACUGAUUAAUUUUAAAGAGCCGCGGUAUUUUGACCGUGCAAAGGUAGCAUAAUCAUUAGUCCUUUAAUUGGGGGCUGGAAUGAAUGGUUUGACGAGAGGAAGACUGUCUAAAAAUAAUUGAUAAAAUUUAACUUUUAAGUUAAAAGGCUUAAAUUUUACUUUAGGACGAGAAGACCCUAUAGAGCUUUAUAUAACAUUUAUUAUCAUUUUUUUGAUAAUUUGUUAUGUUUAUAAUUUAAUAUAUUUUGUUGGGGUGAUGUAAAGAAUAAUUAAACUCUUUAUUUAAGAUGUCAUUAAUUUAUGAAAGAUUGAUCCAUAUUUUGUGAUUAAAAGAUUAAGUUACCUUAGGGAUAACAGCGUAAUUAUUUUUUAGAGUUCAUAUCAACAAAGUAGAUUGCGACCUCGAUGUUGGAUUAAGUUUAGUCCUAGGUGUAUCAGCUUGGGAACUAGGUCUGUUCGACCUUUAAAUUCUU
rnacentral:rRNA from 1 species